GAUGAACGCUAGCGGCAGGCCUAAUACAUGCAAGUCGAACGAAGCAGCAAUGCUUAGUGGCGCACGGGUGCGUAACACGUAUGUAACCUACCUUUUACUGGGGGAUAACUUCUCGAAAGAGAAGCUAAUACCGCAUAAUACAUUAAAGUCACCUGAUUUAAAUGUUAAAGAUUUAUUGGUAAAAGAUGGGCAUGCGUCCAAUUAGCUAGUUGGUAGUGUAACGGACCACCAAGGCUACGAUUGGUAGGGGUCUGAGAGGAUGGUCCCCCACACUGGUACUGAGAUACGGACCAGACUCCUACGGGAGGCAGCAGUAGGGAAUAUUGGGCAAUGGACGAAAGUCUGACCCAGCCAUGCCGCGUGCAGGAUGAAGGCCCCUCUGGGUUGUAAACUGCUUUUGACAGGGAAGUAAUUACACCAUGCGUGGUGGGCUGACGGUACCUGUAGAUAAGCACCGGCUAACUCCGUGCCAGCAGCCGCGGUAAU
rnacentral:rRNA from 1 species